rnacentral:lncRNA from 1 species
UUGAGGUGUUUCCCCAGAGGCAAUGUAUGGGGUUUGUCCGUCCCCACAUUGUGACCCCCUAGGGCCAAUCUCUAGGACAUUUGACAGAAUUAGAGAGUCUAUGGAAUAACCCCUUUUCUGUGCAAAGGUAGCUGGCCUUCUGAGAAUCUGUAACCUUGGUCUCAUUGGCAUCGUAAGCGGAUUCUGGCCAUAUUUCUGCAGGUCAGUAAUCUGCCGCAUGGCGUUAUGCAGGGGCGGAACUAGGUACUAAUGCUAUCAGGACACCAGGCUGGGGCCACAAGGGCAUCUGUCUUGCAGAUGGAGCAGGAGAAGAAGCUGCGUGUGUCUGUGUAUGUGCAUGUGUAUGGGUGUGUAUGUGCAUGUGUGUGGGGGUGUGUGUGUGUCAGGCACACAUUGCAAAAUGCAGCCCACUUUCUCCCAGUCUGGAGAAAGGAAAGAGCAAUUGCAACGGGAGAGACAGAAAGACCGAAUAACAACAAUUAUGUGCAUAGUUCUUUCAGCGAACACCCUUGCAUUUCAUCCUCACAGUUGCCCCAUGGGAGGGAAUAGCAUCAUGAUAUCGUUUUUUUUGUUUUGUUUUGUUUUUUGUUUUUUGGUUUUUUUUGUUUUUUGUUUUUUGUUUCCUGGGAACCUCUGUGCGCGGUAGGUGUGGCCCUAAAAACCAAAAACCAAAAACAAAAAAACUCAAUUUACAUAAAUGCACAUGUUUGUAUUGAAAUUCUCAUGCCCGAAGAGUCCUUUUGUCUUCAGGCAUUUAUCAUUAAUUCAUACUCAUGUGUUUAGCAUGGAAACUACUGCCAGGCACAGCAUUCUCCAGAAUUUCACGUGAAAGACCAAGAACGUGAUGUCUAGAUGUUUCUCUUAGACUUGUAGAGAAUACAGGUUUCUCUGCUCAUUGAUGUUAUGCUCUGACUAUUGGAGAGUCCAAAAGAAGCAGUACUCACUAGGCCAGUCUUUCUUUGUGGCUUUGUAUGAUAAGGAAAUUCAGGCACAUUUUCCCAAGGGUAACACCCAGCUUAUAAUUUCCAUUGUCCCUCUACUCUUAAUGAUGUUAUUCCAUUGUAGGGACGUUUUUCGGAAACUAGGACUUCAACCAAGGAAACCCCUCCUUAUUAUGAUUCCCUCUUUCUCAGCUUUUGUUCCUCUAUUUAUGUAUUAACUUAGAGAAAAAUGCCAUAAAUAAAGUAAAAAGAUAAAGGGGAAACAGAGAAAGACUAUUUCCCAUACAUAAAACAGAGGACAGAUGUCCUCGGAUACAAAGAUUACUUACAGAUCAAUAAGAAAAAGAUAGACCACUUCACAGAAAAAUAGGGGAAAAAAUGCUCGGAAUAGACAAUGCUAGAAGAAGAAAUACAGACGGCCAACAAGCAUCUGUUAUGAAGAGAAUCUCAAGCAUAUGUAUAAAGAUAGUCAAAUAAAAUUAAUGAAAUCCCAACAUUUCUCACCUAUGAGGAUGCCAGAGAUUAAAACAGCUUAAUAAGGUCUCAUGUUAGAAGAAGAGAGAGAAGAUCACUCUUUUUUCCUGCUGGUGGGACUGUACCUUGGGACACUCAUUGUGGAAGGCAAUUUGGAAACAUUUCUGGAGAUGUUAGGUAUUUAUACAGAUUUGAUAAUAUUCCAGUUCUAAAAUGUAUCAUACAGAUGUGUUCACUUGGAUGCCAGAGAUGCACGUACAGAGUGUUCACUGUGGUGUUGUUUAUAAUGGCAAAAAAACUGGAAAGAAGCGAAAUGUCUAUCAAUAGGGAACUAGAUAAACAAAUUUUAGAAGACUCAUGUAAGAAAAUACCAUGCAGCUAUUGAAUGGAAUAGGAUCCGUUGUCUACAUGCAUUGAUUUGAGAAGUUCUCCAAGGUAUGGAGUUCCUGUCUGGCUCAGUGGUUAACAAGCCAGAUUGGUAUCCAUGAGGAUGAGGGUUUGAUCGCUGGCCUCGCUCCGUGGGAUGGGGAUCUCGUGUUGCUGUGAGCUGUGAUGUAGGUUGCAGAUGUGGCUUGGAUCCUGCAUUGCUGUGGCUGUGGCCUAGGCCAGCAGCUAAAGCUCUGAUUCAACCCCUAGCCUGGGAACUUCCAUGUACUGUGGGUGUGGCCGUAAAAAGACCAAAAAAAAAAAGUUAUCCAAGGUAUAUUAAUAGAUGAAAAAAAGCAGAUUAUACAAUGCAUGCUCCCAUUUCUUUAAAAAAAGGAAAAUACACACAAGUAUAUAUAUGGAUAUAUAUUUUUUUAUUUCUGGCUUUAUCCUUCCAUAAAUUGUCUAUGCAUAAAUAAUCAUAUAUAUGCUUUCAUUUUCCUUUGUUUUAAGCAAUGGCUGCCUCUAGGCAUAGAAAUGUAGAUUUUUACUUUUCACACUAUAAGCAUGUAGUACUUAGUUUUUUAAGUCACUAGUAUAUAUUACUUUUAUAAUUUAACAAAACUGAUGUAAAAAAUGAAGAAAGACCAUUAGAAAUGGAUUUGUAAGGAAUAAGCUAGGCACCAUCAUUUUAGUCUCAGUAUGCUGAUCUCGAAGACUUCUGGUUCCCAUUUUGCAGGAAAAUCUGUCCGGCCAAGGAUCUGGGGACCCGAAUUCUAAGCCUCAACUCUACCCCAGAUGAGCUAUGGGAGUUGAGACAAGUCACGUGACUUGGGCAGUAUUGGUGUAAAUGUCCUCAGCUCAAGAUUUUCUCAUAUAUAAUGUGAAGCUACGAUGUCAAAAAGUUCCUUCAGCUCCCGUAUUUGAAAGACUCUGAUUCCAGGCAGGCUUUAAAAGGCUUUCUUAUUUGGGGGUGUGGAUGACGGAACUUCUCCCAGAAGUUCUCUGGGGACCCAGGGGACACUUCUCCGCAACCCUGAGGCUAAACCUAGACAGAUCCUGGAGGCCAGGUGGAGGCAGGGGGCCUUAGGAAGUGCCUUGUGAAUUUCUGUGAGCUGCUGGUUUUCUUACGGAGACACACUGGCUUGUACUCCUCCCUUUGCCUUAGUGUAAACUGAGACGCAGGCCUGACUCUGCUUUUGGGGUCUUACCCUCGCUUCCAAAAUUUGGUCUCAUUUAAAACCCAGAACACAUUUGGCCCCCAAGUGCCUUUCCCUUGGAUGUUUCAAAAAUUCUGGUUAAUUGAAGAGAAAUGGAAUUGGGUUUUGAUUCAUUUAUACCUAACUCUUCUUUUAAAAAUCAAAACCCAUAUUUUGAGGACAUCUUUGAUGUCCAGGCAGAAUUUUGAGCCUCUUAAUGAGUUUUCUGGGAGGCUUUUUUUUCUUCUUCUUCUUAAAACAGGAAGUGGUGCUAUGCUACGGGCAAACACAGUCAACCCUGAAAGGCCCCAAUUCAGUUUGAAACCGUAUCACCCAGCAUUUUGCAUGAACCCCGGUGGCCCUUGCUAAUACCUUGCUCUCCCUACUCCUUAGCUGAGAGUAAAAGAUGCCCUCACCUUUCAUCUGAGGGGAAUAACACCAGGGCGGCAGUCACAGUCAGAAGAAGAAAAAGAAGGAGCUGUUUAUGGAGCGCCUACAACGUGCCAAUAUCUGUCUUCCCCCUUAUGGACGUGUUCAUGUUUGAUCCUUGUCAUGACCUUAGGCUCUCUGUACCCCUUUCAUUCUGGACAGGUGAAGUGACUCACCUGAAGCCGGCAGGAUGGAACGUGGCAAAGCAAUGAGGCCUAAUCCCAUUUGCCUCCAACGUUCGUAGAGCGGAGCCAUUGUAAUCUGUUGCCAGUUGGAUACACACAUCCUCCAAGUGGAGGCUCCAGAUGCAACCCAUCCACUGAGGGCUCCGGGCAGGCGUUGCUGUGGUUGGUCUAAGUGACCCCCACCUGCAGUGCGUACUUGGCCAAUUCCUGGCCUUGAUCCGUGCUCUGCACCCUCUCCUUAAGAAGGCCUAAGCCCUCUGUUGCCCAAGUCAGAGCCCCCGCCUGACUUUACUGGCAGGUGUACUGGACAUCAGGCAGGCAAGCCAGGGCGAGACCAACAGAUUCUGCCUUCCUUGAAUGAGCUACCAAGAUGAUUUUUUUAAAUAAAAAGGUCUUGUACCUCAGUAGAGAAUAAAUAGCACAUUCUUUGAUUUGACAAUGCUUCCUCCUGCUGCCGGCUCUCUUUUUUCCUCUUCUCUCUGGCUCUAACUCUUGCUGUCUUUUUCAUUCUCUUUCACUCAUAUAUACACACAAACUACAUACCCUUAAAAAACCCGAUUUUGGGGAGGGGGGUGUUCUCCAAAACACAAAGAAGGGAAUGUUUUGCAAGGUUAAAAGGAAAUCAUUGAGAAAGGCUAACUUCAGGCUCCAGUUUCUCCUGAAUAGCAUUUCUUGUUAUUUCAAGGCUGAUUGACUUAUAACUGCACCCCCAGCCACCCCACAUCAGUUCCUUUUAUCAGCUCAAGUGAGACUUCCUGUGGACUGGCCCAGCUUCCUGAUGUAUUUCCUUUUUCCUUUGGCAGAACAAAGAAAACCCUAGCUCCAAGGAUCCUUGGAACCAAACAUAAUUUAGCCCUGAAGAAACUAUUAUUUUAAAAUUUUCAUUCUCGGGGCAGAGGGCUGAGUGCCCAGCUUUGCGUUUCUCCCCGCUCCCUCUGUACCGAGAUGGACCCUGUGUGCAGUUAUCAGGGGUCAAGGAGCCACUCAAACUCACCGGAGGUGUAGCUUAAUUUCAUUCAAAGAGGGAAAAUUAGACUGUUCUCUGCACUGAGCACCUCCCCGACCCCAUACACACAUAAGAGCUUCCAGAACUACACAGACCACCUCUGUGUGGAGGGUUUGCGCUUUUGUUACUUUCAUUCAACAUAACUGCUCAGCUAAGAGAUGCUCUUAUUUAGAGAUUUCAGCCUAUCUGGGUUUGAAGUUCUAGCUCUAGAAGCAUGCAUACAAGAAAGGAAGCUUCACAUUAUUUCCAAAGGGUCAAUGGCUGAAGAAGAAAUCCCCCAAAUUGGGAUAAAGGCGUUGCUUUCCUCUUUUGCUCUGAGGGUGGCAUGUCACCUAUACCACUGGGCCUCGCCACCUAUUCUAUGAAUUCCUUCUGGAAGGCCUUUCCCAUCACCCCGGGUGAGAAGGGAACACUACAGAGAGAGCUGCCGGUAUGUCUGAAUAUUUCUCAAGGCAGGUAUCCCAAGUUGCCCACCUGAGCUCUUCCAAGGCUGUUAGAACACAAGAGGCCAUGGCACAGAAGAGGUGAGGCUUCAAGAUGUGAUGUGUCUAAGGAUGAGAACUGGGGAGUCCCUGCCAUGGCACAGUGGCUUAAGAAUCCCACUGCAGGAGUUCCUGUCGUGGUUAACAAAUCCGACUAGGAACCAUGAGGUUGCGGGUUCAAUCCCUGGCCUUUCAGUGGAUUAAGGAUCCAGAGCUGUGGUGUAGGUCACAGACGUGGCUGGGAACCUCCGUAUGCUGUGGGUGCAGCCCUGGAAAAGACCAAAAAAAAAAAAAAAAGGAGAAAAAAAAAAA